rnacentral:rRNA from 2 species
GCGAGAAAACUUUGCAAUGUGCGAAAAGCACGACAAGGUUAAUCCGAGUGAUUCCUGCUAAAAGGAAUCUUUUGUUAGUCGUAAAACCACUGAUGAAUAAGGGGUGGGCAAGUUCUGGUGUCAGCCGCCGCGGUAAAACCAGCACCUCAAGUGGUCAGGAUGAUUAUUGGGCCUAAAGCAUCCGUAGCCUGCUUUGUUAGUUUUCGGUUAAAUCUAUUCGCUCAACGAAUAGGCUGCCGGGAAUACUGCAAAGCUAGGGAGUGGGAGAGGUAGACGGUACUCGGUAGGAAGGGGUAAAAUCCUUUGAUCUAUUGAUGACCACCUGCGGCGAAGGCGGUCUACCAGAACACGUUCGACGGUGAGGGAUGAAAAGC